GGAGAAAGGAGAGAAAGGAAAGCGCGAGGAGCCGCCGCCACCACCAGCGCAGCAGUCCUGGAGCUGUGAGGAGAUUCGGGCCGUCACCCUGCCUCCCCUGCGUCCCGCCACCGGCCGCUUCUGUCCUCGGACCCAUUCCAACAAUCUCGUAAAACAUGGUGGAUUACUAUGAAGUUCUAGGCGUGCAGAGACAUGCCUCACCCGAGGAUAUUAAAAAGAAGACCCUUUUGAGGACUUCUUUGGGAAUCGAAGGGGUCCCCGAGGAAGCAGAAGCCGAGGGACGGGGUCGUUUUUCUCUGCGUUCAGUGGAUUUCCGUCUUUUGGAAGUGGAUUUUCUUCUUUUGAUACAGGAUUGAAAGAAGGUGGCAAGAGGAAGAAGCAGAAGCAGAGAGAGGAGUCGAAGAAGAAGAAGUCGACCAAAGGCAAUCACUAGACCGGACUUGAGGCACGCGGUGCACCCCCAGACGCUGGCGCUCCACCGUGCUCGGCAUGCGGUCGUGCACACGCGCUAGGUAGCAGCGUCGGUCAGGACUGUCUCGAGGCCACACUCGCUCGGCAGGAUUAUGCGAUCACGGAUCAGUCAGAGCAGGGUCAGGAGACGGGGCUGACGGCACGGGUGGCGGGGACAGACGUUUGGGACUUGGCCGCGACUCUCUGCUUCUCUCCAGCUCUCAAUCUGCUGCAUUUUCCUCUAGUGCUUCCGGAUCCUCUUCAUUCUUUUCGGCUACUCAACCACUCCGCAUGCUGCUGGAAUAUUUCUGGCUUUAGAAGUACAGGAGGGCGCAGAUGGCUAACUGAGUAACAUUCAUGAAAUGAGGCUUUCUGUGGCGGCGUAGUGUUUGGAAUUAGAAGGUAAUUCAGUAGAGUGUAACUUAGAGAAUAUUGCAAGUGACACAUUGAAUCCUGCCCGUCAGGGCACCUUUUCCUCAGAGCAAUCCGGCCACACGAAUAGAAGGCUGUCGUGAAUCACAUCAGAUGUAAAAUCAUUCCUUCUGUUUACUCUUUUAAUUUUCAUCCUUUGCAGGUAGUGCAAAUUCAACUUCAAAUAUGGUGUAGGUUUUGCUAGAUUCCAUAUUUUUUUCUUGGAUUUUUGCUAAUUAUUUUUAGCAAAAAAUUUUUGCUCAGUGGCACUCUCCCUAGUGUCCAUGGGUUAGGGCCAUGCUGGGGAAAACGGGCCGGUAUUUACACACGCGCAAAACACCCAGAGACGGCACAAGGAGGUUGAACUCAUGUUUCAGUUCGCGAACAUUGACUCCUUACGAAAGUCACUUCAUUCUAACUAGAUGCGCCCACUUCCGGUCAUUAUUUCGUUUGCAUGAUGUAUUGCUUCUUCACGUUUUGUUUUUAUUGAGCACGGAGUAGAAUUCCAGGGCUGCCUUGACUUCUUCCCUGCAUGCUCCCUCCCAGUGACUUUCCUUCCCUUUCACAUGAGGAUCUGCCGUUCAUGUUGCUUUCUCCUUUGUCCUCUUGGACUUGAGGGCAUUGUGAAAAGCUUUGCUGUGAUUUAAAAAUGCCAGCAAUUUUAAUCUAGCAGUGUUGAAGCUGGGAAUUUUUUGGCGCAAUCCAUGUAGCAGUGACCCAGGCUUGGGAGCCAGAAACAAGUGUGACCUGGGAUUUUAUUUAACACAACUGUUGCCAAAGAGUUGGCUUUGUUUAUUUGGUUUUGGCGGGGAGAGGAGUGGUAUUUGAUGCUUUCUGUGGACAAUGUAACCCUAAACACAUCAUGUAUUUUAAAUGCCACCUACAUAAAUAAAACAUAAGCAUAUUGAAUAC
rnacentral:lncRNA from 10 species